rnacentral:rRNA from 1 species
UACGUAGGGUGCAAGCGUUAAUCGGAAUUACUGGGCGUAAAGCGUGCGCAGGCGGCUUUGCAAGACAGAUGUGAAAUCCCCGGGCUCAACCUGGGAACUGCAUUUGUGACUGCAAGGCUAGAGUACGGCAGAGGGGGAUGGAAUUCCGCGUGUAGCAGUGAAAUGCGUAGAUAUGCGGAGGAACACCGAUGGCGAAGGCAAUCUCCUGGGCCUGCACUGACGCUCAUGCACGAAAGCGUGGGGAGCAAACAGG